rnacentral:rRNA from 1 species
UGCAAGUCGAGCGAGAAAGUAUCUUCGGAUAUGAGUAGAGCGGCGGACGGGUGAGAAACGCGUAGGAAUCUACCUAGUAGAAGGGGAUAGCCCGGGGAAACUCGGAUUAAUACCGUAUACCUCCUAAGGGAGAAAGAGGGCCUCUCUUGAAGCUCUCGCUAUUAGAUGAGCCUGCGUAAGAUUAGCUUGUUGGUAAGGUAAUGGCUUACCAAGGCUACGAUCUUUAGCUGGUCUGAGAGGACGAUCAGCCACAUUGGGACUGAGACACGGCCCAGACUCCUACGGGAGGCAGCAGUGGGGAAUAUUGGACAAUGGGCGCAAGCCUGAUCCAGCCAUACCGCGUGUGUGAAGAAGGCCUUCGGGUUGUAAAGCACUUUAAGCAGGGAGAAAAAGCGAUAAGUUAAUACCUUAUUGCCGUGAUGUUACCUGCAGAAUAAGCACCGGCUAAUUCCGUGCCAGCAGCCGCGGUAAUACGGAAGGUGCAAGCGUUAAUCGGAAUUACUGGGCGUAAAGCGCGCGUAGGUGGUUUGUUAAGUUGGAUGUGAAAGCCCUGGGCUCAACCUAGGAACUGCAUCCAAAACUAACUCACUAGAGUACGAUAGA